GAAGAAAGGAGAAAUGUUAGAGUGAACAGCCACAACCAGCUGGAUGGCUCUGGUAAUGGAAGAGCAGCUAAUGAAGCACCUGUGGCUGACUCAGCCCCUGCAGAACAGGGAGCAGAGGAGGAGGACACUCAAAGCUCAGAUGCACAGCAAGGAGUUGUCAUUAGGUGUCCCAUUUGCAUGAAUUUUUACUCAGAGAUUAUGCAACAUGGACGACAGCUUGUGGCAACCAUGUGCGGCCACGUCUUCUGCAGUCGGUGCCUCCCUGUUGCCCUGGAGACUGCUCACACGUGCCCAACCUGCAGGGUGCACCUCAGUCCACAUCGAUACCAUCCCAUUUAUUUAUGAGCAGUUCUCAGAACAGAGUCAGAUCCAUCUUGGGCAACGAUCCAACA